GCCGCAAAAACCGAAAACGAUUCGAAUUUGCUUUUUCAUCUUCCCUCAAAAUCAUUUUUAUUUUCCACAACAAAACGAGCUAUCUGCAGAUAUCCUCCGGCUACAAUCGCAUAGCAAUCGACGUAAAAGAUUUUAGGUUCAGGUCUGCAUUAUGUGCUUUUGACUCUAAGCCAACUUUGAUUUGGUAUUAAAUAUGACACUGGUUAGAGGUGUAUCGAACAAAUGCUAUAGUUUUAAACCACUAAAGAGAAGAAAGUGAAGAGGCAACUCUCCAGCAGAGGUUUGGUGAUAGAAGUACCCUACGUGUUAGUUUAUAAUUGCUUAUUCUGGUAAUUCGCGUAACUCGGUGCCUAAGAAUUUUGUGAGAGAAUAACAAAUUUACAUCUGCAUAUUCAGUAAUUCAGUUGCACCCUUCCACAAACUUGGUGCCAAAGAAUCAUGGAAAAGAAUAGUGGAGUUACAUUUGCCUCCUUAUUAUUUAGGGCUAUCACCUUUCAACUUCCAAAGUCAAUAUCCUUUGACACACUUGUGAAAAUAGUCAUAAAACUAAAGAGAAGAUAGCGAAGUGGCAACUACUGGGCAGUAAUUGAAUAUCUAAAGCAAGUGAUAGUCUGAAAUGAAGAUGCAUCUUUUUACCAGCUUGGUGCCUAAGUGUAGACUGCUGUACCGUCGAGUUGAAUUUAUUGACAAAAAAACUUAUAACAUUUCCAAGCAUAUGUUUUUGGCAAAUCCCAUCACUGUAGCAGGUGAAUGGUGACGUGGAACCGGAAUUUGGUGGUGGGGAGGGAAAGUGAAGAUUUGGGGUUGAGGCCAUAGGUCUCAAGUUCAAAUCCAAUCGCAAGCGGGUUUUACUGUAGUGGGUCUUCGGACGACGAGUUUUCCUUGGAAUUGGAUAUGGUGGGCUUCGGCUAAUAAUAUUAGUUUGAGUUAACUCC